AAGAAGCAGCCGGGCAGGGCCCACGGUGAUAAGGGCACAUCUGCUCUGGGAGUGCGCAUGCAGACCCCAAAGGGAUUCCGCAUGCAGACCCCAAAGGGAUUCCUCUACACCGCUCCCUAUUCCCGCUGCGGAUCUUAGCCCAAGUGAAUAAGGGCAUCAUCCUAGGAAAGGGGCGCAGAACCCGGCUCAAUCAUUCUCUUCUCCAGGCCCAGCUCCAAACACUGGAAAUUGUCCAAAACGGAGACAGCCAAUGAGUGAGGAGCUGCCAUGGGUGACCAAUGCUUGCUCUAUGCUACUCUGCACCUUAGGAUGUGGGUGAACUUGGCAUCAACCAUUGUGCCCAUUUUAAGUGAUGCCAGGCCCCCAUUACAGUUUCAUGAAGUUACACUGGCCCUGUCACUUGUCUCAUAGGAAAUUCUGUCAACAGUAUGGAUUGCAUGGUUCUGUAAUUUUCUAUAACACUGGAGAAUUCACAAGAAAGGAUCAUCUGUCCAUAACCCAGCCUCUUGUCAUCUCUCCCCUGACCUGUUCUAGAUCCCAGACUGGCAGCAUUUCCAAUGCCCGUACCUGAGAAUCCUGACUAAUACAUUUUCUGUCUUUCAUAA